ACCUCGUUAGCUUAGUUGGUAGAGCAACAGGGCGUAAACCUGAUCGACCUGGGUUCGUAUCCCAGUCGAGGUU